GACAGCCAGGAUGUUGGCUUAGAAGCAGCCAUCAUUUAAAGAAAGCGUAAUAGCUCACUGGUCGAGUCGGCCUGCGCGGAAGAUGUAACGGGGCUAAACCAUGCACCGAAGCUGCGGCAGCGACACUAUGUGUUGUUGGGUAGGGGAGCGUUCUGUAAGCCUGCGAAGGUGUCUCGUGAGGGAUGCUGGAGGUAUCAGAAGUGCGAAUGCUGACAUAAGUAACGAUAAUGCGGGUGAAAAACCCGCACGCCGGAAG
rnacentral:rRNA from 1 species